GCGGGCGUGGCGGAAUGGUAGACGCAUGGGACUUAAACUCCCUGGGGCGCAAGCCCGUGCGGGUUCAAGUCCCGCCGCCCGCACCA
rnacentral:tRNA from 2 species